rnacentral:rRNA from 1 species
AUUGAACGCUGGCGGCAGGCUUAACACAUGCAAGUCGAGCGGGGGAAGGUAGCUUGCUACCGGACCUAGCGGCGGACGGGUGAGUAAUGCUUAGGAAUCUGCCUAUUAGUGGGGGACAACAUCUCGAAAGGGAUGCUAAUACCGCAUACGUCCUACGGGAGAAAGCAGGGGAUCUUCGGACCUUGCGCUAAUAGAUGAGCCUAAGUCGGAUUAGCUAGUUGGUGGGGUAAAGGCCUACCAAGGCGACGAUCUGUAGCGGGUCUGAGAGGAUGAUCCGCCAAACGGGGACUGAAGCACGGCCCAGACUCCUACGGGAGGCAUCGGUGGGGAAUAUUGGACAAUGGGGGGAACCCUGAUCCAGCCAUGCCGCGUGUGUGAAGAAGGCCUUAUGGUUGUAAAGCACUUUAAGCGAGGAGGAGGCUACUUUAGUUAAUACCUAGAGAUAGUGGACGUUACUCGCAGAAUAAGCACCGGCUAACUCUGUGCCAGCAGCAGCCGCCG